GGAAGGGAUCAGCAGUUAUGACAAACAUUUGUUGAGUGUGUGCCAGGAACUGCCCUGAGUGCUGCAUAAACAUUGUGUUCAAGUUCGUUAAUUCCCUACAAGGCAGAGGCCUCCGUUUGCUAAGGAAACAGGGAUGCAGAGAGAGGAGGAAAUGGGCGCUCAGCUGUGAACAGCCCCCGAAAUAGUCCUGAGUCUGAAGCAAGGGCAGAGGCUCACAGUGCAUCAGAUUUGUCCCAGGAAACACAGAAGCUGCUUCAUUCCAGUGCCUCAGAGCCAGCAGAGAGCAGCCUUCCGAGACCCACCACUGAAGGGACGGCACCCAGAAGAGAGCCUCUGUGGAUGGGACCACGUGAGUGGUCACUAUUCUCCUGAGAGAUGGCGUCACGCUGUGGUUGCCUCUGGGAUGAGAUUUAGACAAAUUCACUGGUACAAGUCAACACUGCCAUUCACCUCUAACUGUUCAGGUGGAAGCUCCACCUCAGCCCCUGGCACCCUGGCAUCCAUAUACCCAAAGAGUCUGGAAUGUUCUGGUGAAAGCCCCACACCUCUGCCCAGACCCUGCCCCUCAGAAAGUCCUGUCAAACAUGGCUCCUCCACCAGAGAUGCUCAAGAUCUCUCCCACAGGGUAUUUAAACUGCCCCCCAGAAAACAGACAGGUAUUUUUUCCGUCUCUCGUCUCUUCUCUGGGGGGCUGGAGAAUCAACCAGGAUUGCUUUACCCAUUAAACCAGGGCUUUCUCUAA